rnacentral:lncRNA from 1 species
AGAAGAUCCUAGAGUACAAGUCUAGAUAGAAAAAGAAAAACUUUUCCUGUCUGCCUAAGAAGUUCAUUCUCUGGAGAAGUUCCAGGCUGGGGAACACCAGGUCUAAGAGAAGAUAGGGCCAAGGUGCUGCAUGAAAAACAAGGAGAUUAAGGGAAAUUCUGCUUGAUCUGUCUCUUGCCUGUCCUGCUGUUCCAUUUUGCAGUAUCUUAUGAGAUUCCUAAGAGUAUCCUGGACACAUUGAAGAGAAGGGUGAGCCUUACUCAUUUCCAGUGAGAGAAAUGAGUGAAAUGGGUCUGAUUUACAUCACAGUUCAGCCUUCUGUGGUGAAGUUGGUUUUCCUACUGUGACCUGUGCACUCCGGUCUACCAGCCUGACACUACACGCCAUCUGCUGGUUCCAAACUAUAUAGCUCCAGAGUAACUGCUGACGCUGUUGGGGAACAGAGGACCUGGCCUCCUGAAGAAGCACCAACAGGCCCUCUGCUUCAAGUUGUAGGUGUGAACAAAUCCAGACCACUAAGAGGCCCUCCAGUCCUCCUUGAAUUUGGGUAUGGAUCCUAAGAUUUGCUCCAGUACCUCUGCAGCCAGCACCCAGAGCAGCUAAUGAAAGGAUUCAAGCCGGACGUUCAGGGAUAAGGAGAGACGGCUACAAUGAUACUUCAAAUUGGAAUGAAAAGCCUGGAUUGAAGCCCUCUGCCUUCUGAAUUUUCUCUGAGGUUUGGUGCAGAGCUGAGUUUGGUAACCUCUGGAACAGAUGAUAAGCUUUUGGCAUUAAGUGAACCUGCACUUCGUCAGCAGCCCAGAACCCUGUUGCCUGUCAAACAUGGCUGCAUAAGCCAGAUUGAAUAAAACCAGAUCUACUGCAGGGCCCUGUUUCACACCAUUUCCAAUAGGAUAUGAAUCAGAGGAGAUAACAUCAACCAAACAGCCAGGAAAAGAGAGCCUGGUAAACCUUUCAAGGAGUUAUCCAAAGGCUCAAUGGACUGGAUUCCAAGAUGAUGCCCUCACCUGGCUACGACUGACACAGGAUGUUGUUUAGGAGCUCAGCUGGGGACUGUCAGCUGGGGUAGCUAUCUGUGAUGUCUUCUUGUGUCUAAGCUUUUCAUAGUUUAGUGGCUGGGUCCCUAUGCAAAGUAUCACAAGAGCAAGUGGGAAGUAUCUUUGAAGAUGCAGGAAGUGGAAGCUGCCAGUCCUUUUAAAGACUAGGAACCGUAAUUGAUUUGUGUCACUUCUGCUAUAUUCUGUUGGCAAAGGCAAUCACAGGUCAGCCCAAAUUUUAGCAGAUGGAGGAUAUAGGCUUCACUUGUAUAAGGUAUGAUGUGGUAAUUCAAUAUGUAUGCUGCAUGUAGUGAUCAAAUCAGGGCAAUUAACAUUUCUUUCUCCACAAACAUUUAUUACUUUGCUGUGUUGAGAACCCUUGCACUUCACUCUUCUAUUCUGUAUAAAAUAUAUGGUGAAUUAUUGUGCACUAUACAGAUUUCACUUCUUAGUGGAGGAAUAAGUACAGCAUGGAAGGAGGGAAGGAAAUGAUGGCAGCCUUCUUGGAGAAAGUUACCACAUGAUAUGUCCCCAGACAAAUGUGUAGGUUCAGUGAAGCUCCCACAGGAUGGACUCAGGUUGACUGCCAAUCAAAGAGUUAUGGAGAAAAUAAACCCAUUUGCAAAAAAUAAAAUCAAAUCUUCACUCUCCCCGCUCUCUACCCCAGUAGUGUUCCGCACUCACCAAACACACACCUGGAGGCAGAAUGAGAUGGCUCAGAACUCUAACAAAGCAGCUGGUGGAACUGAGCUGUGGGGUAAGGGCUUAUGUCACUAUUUUAUCCUUUGACUAUUCCCUCAUGCUGGUGUGGCCUAGAAAAUUACCUGUUACAUACAAGUAAAAAUUCAGACUCAGAGGACUAAGAUUUACCAUCAUCAAGACAAUUCAAAAGAGUAUGCUGUAGGUUUGAAGACAAUUUCCAGAGAGACACACAUUCUCAGAAUGUUUCCAGUAAUGACAAAAUCAUUGGAAUAAGCGGCUGACCUCCUCCCUGGGGGACUAUGCUCAUUAAGAUGUAUGUGUUCAGGACUGUUAAAAUUCCAGCUCAUUAUCUAAUAGUUGUACCUUGUGCACUUGGAUACCUCUGAAAAUGCUUCCAGCCCUUCCAUUUCAGUCAUAACAACCAACUGACAGUCUCCUAUACUUUUGAGAGGCUUUAAGGGAAGGUUCUUAUAGCAAAGUUAAAAGUGAAAAGGAAAAACUCAAAAGGAAGUACCACUAUUGAUAACCCUGUCUAUUCAUUUCCCUUGAAGUAAUUUAAGACCAUGAGGAAAGAAUUCUUCCUAGCUUUAGGGUCAGUGCUCAAGUCUUCAUUCAUUCUUUUCUCUCUUUAAUUUGCACAUUCCAGCAGGGAAACUGUAUUCCAAUCUCAAGAACAAUUCCAGAGCCCAAGCCAACUGUGCUGUGGAAGCAAUGUGAAUCAAUAUUCAUUGAUCACUAGCAUUUGUUCUUUGGCCUCUAAUUCAAAUGUCCUUUCCACUAGAAGCCUCCUCUAAACUUUCUUUUCCUGUGGUAGAAUCUAAUCAUUCCCACCACCAUAUUCCCUUUCGGUAAAGCAUUUGACUCUGCAUUUAAUUCUUUUUUCUCCCUUUUUAAUUUAUAACUAAAUUAUGAGCAGCUUGAGAUCAAUUAUCAGUUACAUUCAUGCUUAGGUCUCCAGUACCAAGCACAAAGUCUGGCAUCUGAGGGAGUACUCAAUCAAUGUUUGUUCAAUGAAUAAAUGUGGUAAGAGGUCUUCCAGAAGUAUGCCAAUAGGGUGCACUGGAGAGCCAACGAGUUCAGUUUAAUUAUAUCUAAAAUAAGAGAUAUGUCUCUAAGGAAGUAGCUUCACAAAUAUGAGAGGAUAAAAUACACAUGCAAAUAAAAUCUGGACAUUAAAGAAUAUGGUACAGAGAAGGCACUCUAUUUUAUGAGAUUUGAGUGAGUUACAAAACCAGCUCAGGAUCUAAGGAGCAGAGGGAUCUUUUGUUUAUCCACUCAAGUCUAAAAAUCUAAUGUACAUGUGACAAAAUUAAUAUUGUAUCAUUGUAUUAGUGAUUUUUAUUAUAAAAAUAAAUUGUAGCUACUCUCACAAAAAGUGAACAUAUGAGAUGUCAGAUAUGUUGGUCUACUUUACUAUGGUAGACAUUUUACUAUCUAUAUAUAUUUCCUAACAUCAUAUUGUAAACUUCAAAUACACACAGUGAAAUUUAUUUAAAAACUCAUUUGCUGAUCACCUUCUACAAAUUAUAUACUCCUAAUUCUCAUUUAAGAACUUUCAUGUUUCCUGAAAACACUGCCACUAAACUUAAAAACUUAAAUGUCAAAAUAUUUUUAUUCAUAUUGAAGGAAAAAAUUUGUUGUGUUUCAUGUGUAAGAUACCAAACCUAAGGUAUCGAUUUCCGCAGAUACAAAAAUGUACCAAGUUGAAUGAUGAAAACAAAAGUAUUUGUAAGCAUGCACUAUGUUCAUUGCCUCAUUGUUCACAAUAGCAAAGAUAUAGAAUCAAUUUCAGUAUUUAUCAGUGGAUGAAUAGAUGAAGAAAUAUGACAAAUAUGCACUAUGAAAUACAAUUCAGUUUUUAAAAAGAAGAAAAUCCUGUCGAUUACAGCACCAUGGAUGAAUCUGGGGGACAUUACAUCAAGUGAAAUAAGUCAGAAAGAGCAUGACAAAUGGUUCAUGAUCUCACUCAUGUGUGGAAUCUAAAGUUGAACUCACAGAAGAGUAGAAUUGUGACUACCAGAGCCUGGAGGUAGUACUUGGAGAGAUGUUAGUGAAGGGAUACCAAAAAAUCAGUUAGAUAGGAGGAAUAAAUUUAAGAUAUCUAUUGUAUAAGAUGGAGAAUACAGUUAAUAACAAUGUACAGUAAGUCCCUGACUUACAAACAUUCAAGUUGCAAACUUUCACAGAUAUGAAUGGACCUCACAUUUUGAACAUUCAUAGAUAUGAACAAAUCGUGGAUGUAGCUCAUGUGUCCGCUGGACACUGUCACAAUUGUGCUGCUGUGUGCUUACUGUACAGUGCAAUAGUGGACAGUAGUACAGUGCUGAAUCAGAGCUCAGGAUGUCCAGAAGCAAAAAAAAAAAAAAAACAGUAGUGGUGAUGUGGAGGGGACUGCUAGGAAGGACAAAGCAAUAUACAUAGUACUGCAUAGAGGUGUAUAAGACUCCUGUUGUCUGACUCACAAACAAAUCUUAUGAACAUUCACCCGGAAUGGAGCUUGUUGGUAUGUUGGAGAUUUAACUGUAAUAUAAUCUUGAAAAUACAGUGGUACCUCAGUUCACAAACUUAAUUUGUUCCAUGAUUCUGGAAAAGAUAGCCACAUUCUUGUUAGUACAGGAAACAUGGCCACGGUUGUGUUUGUGCCUGAAAGAUGUGUGGUCAUGUUCAUCACCUGAUGUACAGUUCACAAACAAAAACAAAAAUUUGCGAAAUUGUUCCCAAACAAAAGCAUGUGUGAACCAAGGUACCACUAUAGAUUAUAAGUGUUCUCACCACAUGAACUUAUAAGCAUGAGAGAUGAUGCACAUGGUAAACAGCAAAAUCUAGCUAUUCCGUAAUGUAUAUAUAUUACAAAUAUUAGUUGUAUCUAUUUAUCAUGCUGUAUAAUAAAUAUAUACAAUUGUAAUUUGUUAAUUAAAAUAAAAAUUUUAAAGUAUUUAUAAAUAAUAAAUUUUGAAAAUAAAU